rnacentral:rRNA from 1 species
AGAGUUUGAUCAUGGCUCAGGACUAACGUUGGCGGCGUGCGUAAUACAUGCAAGUCACACGGGAUUGGGGCAACUCAAUUCAGUGGCGAACGGGUGAGUAACACGUGGAUGAUCUACCCUUUAGAUCGGGAUAACUAGCCGAAAGGUUAGCUAAUACCGGGUAUGACCACGGUCUGUAUCGUCAGAUCGAGGUAAGAGCUGGGGACCGCAAGGCCUAGCGCUAAAGGAUGAGUCCGCGGCUGAUUAGCUAGUUGGCGGGGUAAUGGCCCACCAAGGCGACGAUCAGUAGCCGGCCUGAGAGGGUGAUCGGCCACACUGGGACUGAGACACGGCCCAGACUCCUACGGGAGGCAGCAGUAGGGAAUUUUCCACAAUGGGCGAAAGCCUGAUGGAGCAACGCCGCGUGAGGGAUGAAGGUUUUCGGAUCGUAAACCUCUUUGGAGCGGGAAGAACGGCGUUUGGGUGAACAAUCCAGACGCGUGACGGUACCGCUAGAACAAGACACGGCUAACUCUGUGCCAGCAGCCGCGGUAAUACAGGGGUGUCUAACGUUGUCCGGAAUUAUUGGGCGUAAAGGGCGCGUAGGCGGCCGGGUAAGUGAGAUGUGAAAGCUCUGGGCUCAACCCAGGAAUUGCAUUUCAUACUGCUCGGCUCGAGAUUGGUAGAGGAUGGCGGAAUUCCAGGUGUAGCGGUGAAAUGCGUAGAUAUCUGGAGGAACACCUGUGGCGAAGGCGGCUAUCUGGUCCAAUUCUGACGCUGAGGCGUGAAAGCUAGGGGAGCAAACAGGAUUAGAUACCCUAGUAGUCC